GCUUCAUCUAAUUCACAAGGAAAAUCAUAAAGAUUCAAGCAAAUUGAAAGCAUAAUCAGGAAAUUGCAAGCUCUUAACUAAUCCUUUGAAAGGGUGUAAAGGAAGAGGGCUCGGGUUCUAAGAAGUCGGAAAGCUCGCAAGACAAAGGUAAAUCCUCGAUUUAGACGUUUGGACGGCUUGGAACGUGCACACUUGGAUUACGC